UACGGGGGGUGCAAGCGUUACUCGGAAUCACUGGGCGUAAAGGGAGCGUAGGCGUUCUAUUAAGUCUUGAGUGAAAGCCCGCAGCCUAACUGCGGAACUGCUCAGGAAACUGAUAGAAUUGAGUAUGGAAGAGGUAGGUGGAAUUUCCAGUGUAGGGGUAAAAUCCGUAGAUAUUGGAAGGAAUACCAGAAGCGAAGGCGACCUACUGGGACAUUACUGACGCUGAGGCUCGAAAGCGUGGGGAGCAAACAGG
rnacentral:rRNA from 1 species